CAGUGCAGUAAACAAUAAAAUUUAUUAUGAAUACAUUUCUUUUGUUUACAAUAUUAGCCUAUUGCUGUAUGGGCAGCUGGGCGCUUAAAGAUCCUGUGUGUGGAGAGCCCUUUGCGGAGACUAAUGACGGUCCUUUCUUUUGUCCUUUUAGAGGACCAAGAUUUAGUUACAAUAUAUUGACGAACACUUGUCAAUUUUUUGUUGAUAAGGGCUGCGGCAAUAGAAAUAAUUUUAUGAGCCAACAGGACUGUGAGAGAAAGUGCGUGGAACCAAAUGUUGUACCCAUAGGAAUUUUAAUUCUGUGUGUGGACUGGGCUUUGGAAAUACUGAACCAAAUGCGCGUUGGUGUAAAAAUUCAGGAGCCAGAUAUAGUUACAAUCAACUGACAAACACUUGUCAAUUUGUUAAUGGGCGUGGCUGUGGCACUAAGAAUAGCUUUUGGGAUCUAGAUCAUUGUAAGCUAGUUUGUGUGGAGCCAAAUGUGGUGCCCAUAGGCGUUUUAAUUAUAUCGAGAGCUAAGACGUAUACGUAAUAUAAAAUAAUUUGUAGCCAAAAACUCUA